ensembl:misc_RNA 7SK 7SK RNA
GGAUGUGAGGCUGAUCUGACUGUGACAUCUGUCACCCCAUUGAUCGCCAGGGUUGAUUCAGCUGAUCUGGCUGGCUAGGUGGGUGACCCAUUCCUCUCUCACUGCUCCAUGUGUGUCCCUCUCAAAGCUGCAUACUCUGUCAAAGAGGAAGGCCUUCCUUGAAUAGAGUCGGACCAGUCUUCAGUUGAGAGUAUCUGCACUCUCCUGCUAGAACCUCCAAACAAGCUCUCAAGGUUCAUUCUAGAACCUUGAGUGAAUCUUGAAUGGACAGGUCUUUGUUCUCAUACCACUGACCGUGUGCUGUCCAUAGAG